CCCCGGAUGUUGCUGAACUACAACUCCCAUGAUUCUUUCAAUGAAACAGAUAGCAAUGGAAUCAUGGGAGUUGUAGUUCAGCAACAUCUGGGG